rnacentral:lncRNA from 1 species
UGAUUCUUUGCUGAUUUGGGGAUUUUAUUUCAGAUCUGGAAAUUCAAAGUUCUAAUCUUUUAAUUUUUCUGUUUCGUUUCGGAUCUGAUUGUUUAGGGUUUUCGUAGGAGUUUCCCGUGACUUGGCAACUUGAUCUUGGUCCGCGCGCAACCCCGUAUCAUUUGGUAUCAGAUUUUGGGCGUUUUGGGUGUUCUUGGUUGAUUUCUAAACUGAUCUCAAUAUUUUAAAGCAAAAACAGCAGUUUUACCCAGAAAAAUCUUUCAAAAAAAUUUUAUUUGAGUGGGUAAACGUUGUCAAAUUGAUCUAAAAUUUUACAUACAUAUUUGUGGCACUGUGAUUGAAUAUAAAAAAUUUAUUCCUGCAAAAAAAUCAGUCAAAAAAGUCAAAAA